rnacentral:rRNA from 1 species
UACAGAGGUCUCAACCGUUGUUCGGAUUCAUUGGGCGUAAAGGGUGCGUAGGCGGUCGCGUAAGUCGGAUGUGAAAUCCCAGGGCUCAACCCUGGAACUGCAUUCGAUACUGCGUGGCUAGGGUACUGGAGAGGAGACUGGAAUUUACGGUGUAGCAGUGAAAUGCGUAGAUAUCGUAAGGAAGACCAGUGGCGAAGGCGGGUCUCUGGACAGUUCCUGACGCUGAGGCGCGAAGGCCAGGGGAGCAAACGGG